ensembl:lncRNA
CUGACUCGGACCAACCCACACUGAUUUGUUGAGUACUAUUCCGUACUUCUGUUUUAGUGUAGAAGAAGAAAACAUGACUGACACUGAGAGAAAACGGGAGGGGAUUAAAGAAACGGGCACUUUUCAAAAGCGGCCACGCCCUGAAGAAUUUCCACAAAGACAGCAGAAGAGGAGUCGACCAUCCACAUGUGACUUUUGUCUGCGUGAUUUGGAGGAAGCCAUCCCCCACAGCUGUGGACACUGGCUUUGUGGAGAAUGCAUCACUUCACACUCAGAGAAGUCCUGUCCAAACAGUGGUACGAACAUCUAACUUUGACUGUUUGAUCUUCUAGGCAAGUCAAGGCAAGGCAAGUUUAUUUGUACAGCACAAGUUGUACACAAAGUAAUUCAAAGCUUUACAGAAUAAGAAACACACUAAAACCAC